rnacentral:misc_RNA from 1 species
AAGUCGUAACAAGGUUUCCGUAGGUGAACCUGCGGAAGGAUCAUUAUUGAAUAAAAACUUUUUUUAGUUUUUUUUUCAUAUUCCCUGUUUAUAUUAAAUACGUUCCUUCCAUCGGACAGGUCUUUUUUAGGACCCUCUGGCUUGAGCAAAUGCUUUUGCUAGGGAGUUUUCCGGUGGCAAUUUCUAAAAAAAAAAAUUUGUUAUUUAUGAACUGUCUGAAUAAUAACUUUUUAAAUUAAAUAAAACUUUCAACAACGGAUCUCUAGGCUCUU